GACUCCAUCUUAACGUUGUCAUGACCUCUUUCCAAAUAGCCACCCCCACCACCCUGGACCACUGAUCAAGAGAGAUGAUUCUCUCUCUCAUCAUCAACGUGGUCAGUCCCAAACCUGCACCCGGCCUGUCAUAGAUGUAGCAGGUAAGCAAUAAAUAUUUGUUGAAUGUUAAGUGAACUGAAAUAACACAAGUGAAAACAAAAACACUUAAAAACAUGUGUUUUUAUAGCUACAUAGUAAACAUCAUUGUAGAAACAAAUCAGGGAAGUGGCCAGGGCCAAGUGAGAACCACCGUUCCUGGCACGUCCGCCCGCCCGGGUAGCCCCAAGUAAGAGGUGCGGACACGGGUGGGCUUGUGGAUACAGAGACACACGCUCGCAGAUGCUGGGUCUUGUCUUGUGACCUCUUGGGGAUGAUGUUUUCUCGAUGCCGUUCAAACCUUCUACCACACCAUGUUUAGAGGGUCGUUCAUCGUAAAUCAUGUCACUGCUUUGUCUCCUGAUGCUGAAAGUGUCACGGUCUUCGAGAAAUGAGAAGGAACAGGGGCGCAUAAGGAAGAAAGUAAACGCCCGGUCUUGCUUCCAGGGGGCACUCAGCGUGUUGGUGUGCAUGCUGGCAGCCUUUCCUCUGUGACAGUCAGGGCCUUUUCCCAAAGGUGGGCUCAGACACGACCGCCUCCCAUCCCCUGUCCCCGUCCCCUACAGUGGAACCCUCCCACGGCACAUCUCCAAGGCCUUUUGGGGCUGUGGAGGUCAGGCUGUGCGGACGUGCUGCUGGUGGGGACCCAGGGCUGGGCACCACGUUGUCCCUGGGUCCUGGGCCGGUGAGGAGCUCCUAGGAGCAGGGCUGCUGGGCCAAAGGACAGAGCGUCCCCAGGCCAUGGACAAGGGAUACAUUUCCUGCUGAAGGGCUGGACUGCGUCUCCCUGGGGCCCCUUGGAGUCACGGGCAGUGGGGAGGCCUCUGCUCACCCCCUCGCCCACCCAAGGCUCACUCUGCAGCCAGGAGGGCCCUGGGGCUGGGACGCCGGGGCCAGAGCCCCUCCCUGCUGUGCUGAUGGGCUUGGUGACCCUGCUGCCCCCUCCCCGGGGCCCUGCUGACCUCGGGGGCCACCGCCAGCUGGUUCUGAGAUUCCCCUGGGGUCCAGCCCUCCAGGAUCCCAGGACCCAGGAUGGCAAGGAUGUUGAGGAGGCAGCUAGGGGGCGGCAUCAGGCCCGGACCAGGCUGGGCAGGGGCUGGGGGAGCCCGGGGUGAGAGGGCCCGGGGGCUGGCGGUGGACAAGCCUGCCGUCCCAUACAGCCUGCCCAUCUGGAUAUUCUCUGGGCUUUGCUGGUGACAGGGAAAUGUGAAGAACCCCAGGGGGAACAGGCUAAAAGCGGGCAGGUUACAGGCCUAGGGCGACUGAGACCUCAGCCCCAGACGGGUAAGGAGACGCAAGAAUCUACCCAGCUGUCACUCCUGACCCGGAAAGCUGGAAGGGGGAGACUCACCCCGUAUGGCCGGCUGGGUCCCUCCACCGAGCAGACACACAGUGACACAGCCCCGAGCAUAAACCCUGCUGCCAGCCCACCAGCCCCAG
rnacentral:lncRNA from 1 species